GAGAGAAAAGGGGGACUUGGAUAAGGGUUCGGUUGGUUGUUGUUGUGAAGAAAUUAUAGGAGGAAAUCAAGGCUAUGUGGGGGAAAGGGAGAGUUGAGCUGUAUAGGGACUUUAGGAACUCUUGAAUUCAGUUUUCGGGGUGUUUUUCUUUCAGAAUUGGGUUGGUUUGUGCGAGGGAACUUGUUUUUGGUCAUAUUUUUGUUACUUUUCUCUACUUUUUGGUUUUGGGUGGCCGAAGAGGCUAUAGACCCUUUCGGGUAUUAUUAUUUUCCCUUUUGU
rnacentral:lncRNA from 1 species